AAAUUUGGAAAGACUGCCUUGGUCUUCUACACCAUGGUGAAAGUCAUUCUUACAUUACAUCUCUCUCUCUCUCUUUCUCUAACUUAUUAUUGGUAUUGCAGAAAUUUUCCUAAAGUAAGACUUUGGUGAGGCUUUUCACAUGUCACGCAAACAACACUGUCUGACCCACAUUUUCUGUUUUUCCUUGUGUCUCAGGAGUGUCUCUUUGAAGAUGCGUGUCUUCAGGUGAGUCAGCUGUUGUGGAGUCAUUAUUUUGGAUUUGCUUUGCAUGAGAAAAGAGUGAAAGAGCUGAGAACAAGGGGCAUCGAUGCAGAAGUCUCGUAUCAGUCAGUCACAGACAUAAAACUUAGCAUGAAAUCACAGAGAAUGAAAUUGUGUCUAUUAUUUUGAACAGACGUCCUUUUAUUUGUAUUGUUUUGUUGAGUGUGAUUAAAAGUUUAGAGAAAGAAAAGCAAACCACAAUUUGAUAUAUUUUUAAUUGUUGAAGCAAUAUGAAUCACCAUGGAAAACAAUUGUCCUUUUAACUAUGUAUUAUAUUAUUAUUCAUUGUCACCAGGCAAAAGUUUGCAGGCUAAUAUGUUUUCUUACUUCCCAAACAUUGAGGGCCUAAUCUACUAAGAUCCUUAAUAAUUAGUGCUAAAUUGCAUGUGCAAACUAAAAAAUGGCACAUGCUAUUAGUGGGGGUGUUGUGGGUGAUCUACUAUGACUGUGUGCACUAUUGAUAACAGGUGCAAAAGUGGUGCAGACUGCCCUAUUUAAAUGAGGAUUUUGCGUGUGCUACCGACUGUUUGUGAGAGCAGAGUGGCCGUAAACGAAAAAAUGUAGUUUAAGGCCAUUGAGUUGGAGGUCUUGGGGGAGAAGGCAAAUAAACACACUAGUAAACUCUAGUAGAGACUUCUCAGCAUUGCUAUAAGAGACACAAUUUGAUAGGCCAUCUGUGAAGAGGUGAAUACUGUCAGCAAAACCAAAUGAUCUGCCGUUUAAAUAAAAAGAAGAUGAACAAAAGGAAGAAAAAAUGAAAAACUUUCCCUUGAUAAAACCUCUGCUAACAAACCGGUGGGGGACCGGCAGAAAUCAGCCCUUGGGUCACUUAGCACUUCAAAAAGGCAUUGAUAUUACCAUUACUCUAAUAUUGUUAAUUCUGACAGUCCAAAUAUGUUGACACACACACACACACACACACAGAAGAUUCUCUCUUUGUUUCAUUGCACCUUUGCCUCCUUCUCGCAACUCAAACCACAGCCAUUUGUGCGUAACGCUAUGCCAGUUUGCACCUGCCAUUCCAACGUGCUAAAUAUAGAUGCAAAAACACCACAAUCAGUAUCAGGGUUUGAAAAAUCACAUUGCAGGUGCUACAUGAUACCACUCUCAUCUCCUCCUCCCAGUAUUUUGCACGUUCUGAUAAAAUACAUGCAUUCUGCAUAUUCAUGAAGGGAAACACACUGAAUCAUGGUAAUUCGCUCAUUUGACCGACACAAUCUAUGGUUCACUUGGUAAGUAGAUCAGCUUUGUUCACGCUAUCGAGUUUGCAAAUGUUUCUAAACCCGCAAACCUUUAGUAGAUCAGGCUUUUAAGACUCGACCAAAAAAAUCUCCAGGGCUGUUGAUUUUUACUAUAGUUUUUAUAGAUUUUACUCACAACUCAGUCCCAGCAAAUUUGCAGCUGUAUGCAUGAAGUGGAGGAGUCAAGAGAAAUUCAAUAGUUGAAGAAAAUCAGAGAGCUCAGUGAUGGCUCAUGGGUAGUGUGGGUCACCUAAAAAGCAGAAGGUCAGUAUGUUUUUGAUAGAGUUGAAAGUAUUCAUGAGGGUGAUAUUUAACCACUAACUGCACUGUAUGAGUGUAAAUGAUUUGCCAAAGAGUUGCCUUCUCCAGCACAAAAUUAGGCAACAAUUCUAACAAAAAAAAAGACCAAAAAAAAUAGCGUCUGUCAGGAUGGCAUGUAAUGUCAAGGAAAAAAACAGGAUUUCCUUCCACCCCCAAAGGAAGCUGAGCAAGAGACAACCCCCCUCUCUUCCAACCUUUGCACACACUGACACCACAGUCAGUCAGCAGAGCAGCAGACGACGUGUGAAGCAGUCAUGAGUUUUACUGUUCCUUGUAAAAUAUGCUCUAUAACAUUCUGUUGUUAGUCAUGUCCUCAUAAAGCUCACUUUUACACCAAUACAGUAUGCAUACUGCCGAAAGUUUUUACACAACCUCACACAUUCUCACACCAAUCAAUACACUAAAAUGUCACUGUGUUGGCUACCAAUGACAUUUCUUGGACCGCCUCAUACAAAGGCUCAUAAACCAUAAAUUUCCCCCCCCGAAGAACAAUAGACUACGGGAGGACACACACCAGCACACACACAUACACUAACACCUGUGCGCAAACAUACCAAAGCUCAGGUCAUGGCACGAACUAAUAGGACAAUAAGUCAAUUUUAGUGAUCAUAGUACAUUUUCUCAGAGUUAUGAGGGGCAAUAAAAAAAUCCCUGUCACAUGAGGUCAAAGUUCAGCUCAUGUUGUUCUGAGGCUGCUAACACGCGCUUCACAGUGUUAACUUUAACGACUUUUCCUGAACAGAUGAGCUUUUUAAUUAGCUUAUUUACAAAAUCCAUAAGACCAAGCUCUUCUCAUAUUUUAGACUCCAUACAAAAACAAGGUCAGUUUACAGUUAAAUGAAUAGAGGCCAUCCCUCAUGUCUAAGAAACUAACACAGGAAAAGAAAGGGACCUUACUAAUAAGUGACUGGCUUGAGUGUGCUGUAAUGGCUUUGCCCUCCCUGUCCUCCCAGGGUACUAACUUAUAGUGGUGGAAUAAAGUUUUGAUCCCACUCACUCAUAAAAGGCCAUUAUUGUUGCAUUUAUGUUGUAGCGCUGUCUACAUAGCUAAUUAUAAAUAACAAAAGUCCUUCUUGACAAAGUAAAUAAAUCAGGAUUUAUAGGUGGCACCAAGGGUUGGCAAUCAGAACUCGGGUUGGGAAGGUGAGAGAGAGGUUAGGGACACCCUUGUCUAUUGUGGGUGGAUGUGAUCAUUCAUCCUCUGUAUUGGUGUGAUGUUUUGUGUUUCAAUGUUUACCAUAAUAAUUAUUUUUGUUUGGUUUUAAAAAAAGGCACAGCAGGUAGUGCAUGUACCUCACAGCAAGAAGGUCACCGGAAUGAUCCCGGUAUGAUGAUGAUGAUGUGAAGUUUGCAUGUUCUUCCUGUGCAUGCGUGGGUUCUCUCCGGGCACUCCGGCUUCUUCCCACAGACCAAAACCAUAUUCUUUAAGUUAACUGGUGACUCUAAAUUGUCCUUGGGUAUGAGUGUGAGUAUCACCGGGUUCUCUCUCUCUCUCUCUCUCUCUCUCUCUCUAUGUAGCCCUGCAAUUGACUGCCGACUGAUUCAGGGUGUACCUCACCUCUCGCCCGAUGUCAGCUGGGAUAGGCUCCAGCCCACCCUCGACCCCGAAAGAGAUAAGUGGUACAGAAAAUGGAUGGAUGGAUGAAUGGAUAUUUUUUUUACUCUGUAUCUUUUCAGGUCUCUUGUGUCCUACCACAGACCAGUAUCCCAUAUUACAGACACAUAAAACCAACCCCUAAAGAGUUAACUUGUAAAGUUGACAAAACUAAACUACAACACUGAAAAUUAACUGAAGCUCAACUGAAAUUGUAAAGAAAAAGUACAGUUUUUGUUUGUGCAUUAUACUUUGUGUUUUGAUUUUGCACUGCUAACUUACCUGCACUCUCUACCUUGGAUGACCUGGCUUAGUCAGUGCCAUUGCAUGACCUCUUGACUUCCUUGGGGCAGAAGGAUCAAUCAGUGUCAGAACCAUUAAUUAGCAUACGUUUCCAUUCGGGCACAGACCUACCUGAUCAGGACUUCUGUUUGUCUGUCUGACAAGCUCCAUGAAUAACAUUUUCUAAUUCACCCUACAACAGAGGAAGAGUUCUGCACUAGUGCAUUAAGAACUAAGACCCGGUUUUUCAUAAUCCCUUUAAGAAUCAGGCCUUUGGUGUAAAAGACCGGUGAACCAGCAACUCAAUAAAUAAGGCUUUAACAAAUAUUUGUAGUGGUCACAGUCCAAACAACAUGAUUGAUUCUCCCUCUAAAUUAUUUUGAAUCUUUUCCAAAAUCAGAGGGAGUAUUUUUCUUUCUUUUUUUUUCCAUUGUUGGCAUCUUUUAUGUAAUCUACUAACCCAUCAAGAAAGUUGGCAUCCGUUCCACAGUGCCUCGCUGCACCGGGGCCUUAAAUAUUUGUCACAGUAGAUAUUUAAGCUUUUACUACACAACACAGUGUCACCAAUAUCUGUUGGAGGAAUCAUCAGUUAGUCUGUAUUUGUAAAUCUUACUCGAGCAUUGGCUAAGAAGGAAAUGUUGAUCUUUUUUGGCAAGUUUCGAGUUUUGGCUGAGUUACUUCGGCAGUGACUUGGAAAGGGUUCCAGCAUUUAGACUCAAGCGAAACAUUAAAGGCGUGUGCUAAUGCGUUAGCUCCUGGAUUCAAAUGCUUUCUAUUUUCAUUCAUGAGACAUUUAAUCAGGCAUUUACAAACAAACUGAUACUUUUGAUCUAUAAUACACAGAGAUUAAUAUGUCACCCCUCCUGUGGAUGCAAGUAUUUAUCUACCUUUAUGUUCCUGGAGAUGAAAGCAGGGGGGAGGAGAGUGGAAGAAAGGAGGAGAGGAGAGGAAAUGUUAUGCCUUGUCACGGAUGAUGUAAUUCAGCCCCAGUUAGGCAACCCUGUGCUCUGUGAGAAAUCUGGGAAAUAGCACAACAAAAACCUUAACACGCAUGCACAGAUGCACUAACAGAGCCGUAAGGAUGAGAUGUAAUUUUAUUUCAAGAUUCAAAUCGGAAAGAGUCCAAAUAAAUCCAAUAAAAUAUGUCCCACUCUAUUACUCAGAGUGGAAGCAGAGAGGCCACAUCGGCAUUACAGGGCGUACACACAAAGGCUGAAAUACAAAUACAACACUACAGGCACACACACACACACACACACACACACACACACACACACACACACACACACACACACACACACACACACACACACACACACACACACACACACACACGCAGGGGAUGACAGAAUGGCCCUGGAGCUGUCAUGGGAGAGUGGGCUGUCAUUUGGAGAAGGGAGCCAAGGGACCAGGGAAAGGGUUAGAGUAAGAAAAAAGGUGAAUGGCAGGCAGGGUAAAGAGCAAGAAAUUUAAAACAAGUGAUUGAACUGUACACAUAAAACGGUAUAUUUUCAUAUUAAAAUAUAUAUGUAUACUGUUUCGCUGGAACAAUUUUUUCUUACACUUUAUGGGAGUGGCAUAGAGGGGAAUCUGUUAUUGUAGUUUAAGGAAGAUCAAAAGGAAAAGGGUGACGGGGGAGCAUGAGAGAUCAAGUUGGGAACGAACGCACAAUUGAGGUGGAAAGGGAUGUCUCAGCACGACAUAUACCCACUGAUAUAUUCACUUGAGGCUAUUGGAUAUUCAGUUUGAUGUAUUAGUGUACCGCUGUGCCACAGAAGUUAUAUAUUGACAUCCUCAAGAGCGUGGAAUGAAAAACUAAUUGCUGACUGUCCCCAACAGGGAAACAAUAUAGGCUUUUUUGUCACAGAAAAGUAACUGAGAAUCGAUGUAGUGCUUCUCAUGUUUCAUAAUACUGCAUCCUUUUACCUCAACAACAAUGCAGUGAAAAGGCUUUUUUACUGAGCUAUGUAAACUUUAGUAUAUAAGAGGUUUAAUUUAUGAAAAGUCAGUAUGUUUUUGCUUUAUUUUUUCUGCCUCAAUCAAUCACCCCCUUUCUGCAUUUUCCACUCACCAUGUCCAAAAAAAUCACAGCAGAUAACUGCUCACAAAUCUGGCUCUAAUUUCAGGGCUCUAUUUUUGUGCCUCGCCAGCUGCAUGGUGCAGGUGCGGCGUAAGUCAGGUCCGCCGCACCGAUAAGGCGUUCCCAAGCAUAAUAAGGUAUUUUGGUGAGCGGCACAGCCCAGCUUAAGUAUCCCCCCCUCCCUAACUCAGCUCCUCCCAGCGGCGUUAGUAGUAGAGAGGGAGUAGAGAAGACGUUGAGUGGGUUUAACACAGCCAAGACCUGUUUUCACCAAUCACAUCAGCUCCUCUCCUCACCUUUAAAUCUGCCACCGGCGAGGCGUAUUACAAUUUUCAUGCAGUAGUCGAAGAGAUCAAGAGGCGCACCCGCCAGCGGGCACAAAAAUAGAGCCCUUAGCCUUUACCUGUUUGAUACCAUGAUAUAAUUAAAACAAAUUUUAAAAAAUAAAUAAAAAUGGAUCAAAUAUUUGUUCAGUCAUUGGUCAUUAGGUGCCCAAUAAAAACCACUGUCCUUGGUGCAGCAACCCUGGGAUUCAACCCAGACCCUCUGCUCUUUCUCAGCACCCUAAACUCUGGCCUAUCAAACCAGGCUAAAAUACAAGAAAUAGAUUUAAAAUGAACAACAAAAUCAAUGACAACACUAAUAAUAAUUCAAUAAAACUAUUACUUUUUCCUGUGACACAAUGAAAAUAAAAUUUUACAAAAAUAAAGAACACUAAUAUCAAUGCACUACUAAUGGCAGAUCAGUUGUCAACACAUUGUUUUUAUCCCAAUGUAUUUAUUUAUCUUUAUUUUGAAAAUAUUUUUGCUCAGCUACUGCCCCUGCAAAUUGUCAGCCAACAUAUCUCAGCAGUGCUGGGCUACACGAUAACUUAAAAAAAAGUUACACACUCUGUGGAUCAUAUUAUGCAUAAGUGUAAAUCAAACUCUCAAUUUGUCUUUAACUACGUGUAAUUAAGCUUACAUAGUUAACGGACUUCAAAGAGAUUCAUUGGGUUCAUCCUGACAACUCAGUGAACUAAUAUUAAUGGGCUACAGCUGUGAAAAUCUGCUGCCUAAAUUUGUCAUUUCAUCCAGGAGGACAGACAGUUGCCAGCUUCAGUUAAAUUAAAUGAGGAGGAAACGAUCCUCGUGUUUGACACUGAAUGUUGCCUGACUGGGAAUAUCACUUUGAGUCAUCAUGAAAUUAAUAUCAGGACCAGCCACAGCUUAGACUUUACUUUUCAAUAAAUCCUGAACUUCAUCAUUAGUCCUGACUCUAAAAACUGGGAAUUUAAUUGCAGGUGGAUAUGGUCUGUGUAACCUAAAACUAAGUCUUGAUCUAGUAACACAGAAAUUUAAGAGCCUUUGCACUAUUGCACUUUUUUUUUUUCAUGCGCAUGUUUUGCCUGUUUCUGUGGUUACACAACCUCUUAAAAACCCAAACUGCCAUGAACUCGAAUUACUUAAACUUGAAAGUGGUAACUCCAGGCUAUCUGGUAACAUUUUUAACAGUCUCCUGUUGUAGUGAAAGCGACAUUAACCAGGGUCUGAUAGGGUUCUUACCUUUUUAUAGAGCACUGAGUUGCAUAUCUGUCAGUUUGAGAGAGCUGAUCUUCAGCUGGAGUUGCAGAAAUCAAAGGCCAGGGAGAAAAACUGCAAACUGCAAAAGCAUGUCUCUGAUCUCAAAAUAUGUGCUUGUCUGAACUGUCUGUGUCAGCUUCAGUGUGUUUCGGUAUACAAAAGUAGUUAUUGUAUUGACAAAAGCAUGCAUGUGUCAACUACUGCAUAUUUUAGCCUAUGGUAACGUAAGAAUCUUUAAUAUACCAGCUGUGUUAAAAUUGAUUCUGAUUGGUCUAAACCUACUAAUAACAAUAAUCAAAUCUCUGUUAGCAGAGGAUUCCCAGGGACAACCUGAUCCCUCACAUCCUAUCAGCGUCACAUCCAUCUGUUAUUGGGAAAAGUGGAGCAACAUCCUGUCCUGCAAUUCACAUAAUGGCUACAGAGCUGGUGAGUGCUUACUAAUAUGACAUGUGAGACUGACUGUCUCACAUGGCAGGAUGUUUCAAAAGGGAGAACUUCAAAAGAAUUCAGAGAGGGAUCAGACAAACAUUGUGUGUUAUCACAUUCAUGAGAGCCUAAUCAGUUCACCAACACAUAUGAACCAGUAGGCAUGCACUGUUGCCAAGGAGUAAACUCUAUAAAAUCGGCUGGAUUAGUACUAGCCUUACAUGAUCACCGGUGGUGUGUUGUCUCAUAGGCAUUUCGGUCAUUCAAGUAUAAUGUGUGCUUUAAAAUAAUUUAUUUAUAUGUGUUGUACUUAAAAAAUAAUUGUAAAAAGGUUAAUGUCUAUUUAGAAGAUUUUAUUUUGACAGUUAAAUUACUGAUGAUAUCACUUCCUCACGUGUGUUUGUAGUUUCUUGUGUGGACUGAGAGUGAGGCAGACAUAAGAAACACAUGGUGAAGACACAUAAACAGUGACAGUUGUUAAAAAAUAUAUAUAUAUUUUUUUUUUAUUUGUGAUUAAGCAAGGACAUUUCGCCAUGUUUUUAAAAAAAAAACAAAAACAUUUUGCUGAUGUUAUUUGCUAUCACUCAAUGUGCCUGUAAUUAUGUUAAUUCAUAUUUUACCUGAUCAUUAUAGAGUUCAUUUUAAGAUUCUUUUAUUUGUUUUUAAAUCUUUAAAUGGUCUGGCUCCAUCUUAACUCUUUGAGCUUCUCCACCCCUACACCCCUGCUCGGUGCCUCAGGUCAGCUGAUCAGCUGCUCCUGGAGGUCAUACAAAUACAGUUGAGUUGAGUUUAAAAUGCAAUAUUUGCUGUAUUUACAGUCUUCACAACAUCACUUAAGACUUCUGAUUAAAAGGUUGACUCCACUGCGACUCAUGUUUUCAUUGACAAAGGUUAAACUCAGUGUAGAAUCAGAGUUGAAACACUCUGUAACACUCACUUCAGCUGGGUUUAACUAUGUUGCACACUACAGCCAAUCAACACUGGCUGUAUUGUGACUUUAACUUGCCAGUUGUGAGUUUAACCUCAUCAGUGCUUUACACCUCUGCACCAACAAUCAUCUCUUUAUUGGCCACAAUUGUUCACAGGUUUGCAGCUACAGCUAAAUCGGCCUGUAGAUACUGCCUCUUUCUCCUCAAAUGACAAUGAUUGGUCUGGUCAUUCUCUGACAGGGAGCAAGUUUAUCAGUCUAAAAAAUAGACUGUGUUAACCUUAGACAGCUUGGCUCUGCCUUCUGUCAUUAUUUGACGGAAUUUGAAGCAAAAUUGCUCUCAGUUUUUCUGGGAUUUUUCUCCACUUGCAGGAACCACCACUAGCGCAGUAGCGUUCUAUGCAUUUGGCAGGAGAGUCGAUGUGGCACUUUGCUCAAACAGCAUAUCCCCCGGAUAGUCUAUGCAAACUUUUUGCGCCCAUAGGCUGUAUCAAGUGUCAAUCAUAAAAAACAUGAACCCCUAAUAACUGAAAAAUGGAGCUGCACAGAAAAAAGAGGACUUGAGCAAAAACCAGUCUUACAAUAACUACAUGUCAACAUCGCAACCAGAACAAGAAAAUCUACCAUGGCUAAGAGUCUGGGAGAAAAAGGGACACAAAAGACCAAGUGAAAAAUAUGGAGAUGCCUUUUGGAGUUUUUCUAAAGACUGACCUUUGAUUAGUCUCUGGAGCUCUUCACCUCUUGACAUCCACUAAAAUUUCUACAUUUUGUUUUCAUUGUUAUUUGCAAAAUUAAGGUAGAAAGACUUAUUGUCCACUGCAGCAAAGGGGACUGAAAUGCAAAUGUGGGUUUCUUUUGAAGGAGGAGAACAACAUAUUGAACUGCAUGGUUUGGAUAUGCACCAUAUGUGUAUUUUCUUUGAUAGACAGACGAAAAAACUGCGAUGUGUAUUAAAUACAAAAGCAGUAAAACCCAAGGGGGUAUUUGGCCAAAUGAGGACCUAUUUGUUCUGUUGACAAGACUGAAGCUGCUCAACCAGCCGAAACCUUGAUACAGCAGACAGUUGUAUGGACAUGGUUUGACAGCCCAGACCUGAUGUUGACAAGAAGAAUGAGAGGAAAGACCAGAGGAGACAAAAAAGGCACACAGAAGAAAGAACAAAGUAUUCAAGAACUGUAAGGUUACCAGCUGUGACAUGACUGCAUAUGAACAGGGAGAUGCAGAGGCCAGCGAGAGACAGAGGUCUACAUGAAAUUCAAGACAUGCAGGCAAAAGGAAAAGACAACUGACAUAGAGUAUGUUGUCUGACAAGCAGGGAGGAAUGUAACUAGAUGACUGCUCCUUCCAGCCAUUAGUUUGGGGAAAUCACUGCAACCUCCUAACCUCCAGCUGUCCUUUUGUCUUAUUUCAUUUCCUUCCAGUCUCUUCUUGUCUUUUCAUCCUCCCAUCACCGCCUCUCUCUUUUUCCUUUGUCUUAUUUUUCCUCAUAUCAUUGUCCCGCAAAUCUUGUUUUUGAAGAUUUUGAGAUGACUUUGCUCUGCUUAUUCAUCAGUGCCGUCCUUGAGUGAACUGCACAUGCGACCUGACAGCUAGUUAGAGACUCUGAAACACGCACACAUGCGCACAUCCACUCACACUCGUGAUUCAGAUAUACAUUGAUAAACAAGGGCAAAAAGAGUCCAGCACACACGUGUACGCACACACACACACGGACAUGAACACACACACAGCCAGCAGGAAACAAAGGAGACGGAUGAUAAAUGACAUAAGUAGUAAAAGAAAAGCUCUUGUGAAUGUCAGAAGAUGUUGUGCAGAGGACAGAGUGACCCGUCCUUGAAUCCUUUCAUAAUUAAUGCUGGUGACAUCAUUUUACUGUCCCUGAGUUCAGUUCAGACCACACGAGUCCACGAGUACCUAAAUACAUGGAUGACUGUGUCCAUCUGCACUACUGAGUCCCAAUUAACAUUUAUAAUUGUAUUUAUUUGUGCAUAUGUGUCCUUCUUAUCAUGGUGUGUGAUUCACUCCUUCAAGCUCCUGCAAUAUUGUGACCACAAAUUCUGACCAUUUAAGUUGAGACUAAAAGAAGAGCUCUGGAUUCAAUUAAACGGAUAUUAGCAGAGUCGAGCUCUCUCAAGCAAAGCAACACAUAUCCUUGUAUUCACUGUUAUAUACAGUGCAAGGAUAUAUUUAUAUUUCUUACAACUAAUAAAUCCAGGUCUCUUCAUUCAUUGUCUGUGACAACUGAGAUAUUUGUCCAAAUAUCAUCUGUGCAUUUCUCUGUAUUUGUUUCAUCAUAAAACAGCUUCAAACUUCUCUUUGAAGUCCUUGGUUGAUGUUAGUAACCUAUUAAUUACAUGGUAGUUCACUUUGUAAUUUUGGUAAAUACUUGGUAAUUACUUAAUUGGCAAUUUACCACCACAUAGUUACCAUAUCAAUACUUUAUAAUUACUCAGUAAUUACUUCUUAUUACCUGACUGUUACCAGGUACUUCUUAAGAAAUUACAUUUAUAAUUAUUACACACCCAAGACACUCGCUUAACCAGUUUUCACAAACAUUGGAUUUCUAUUAAUUUUUCUAUAUAUUUCAAGGAUCAGUCUAUGCUUCUAAAAAAAUGCACAUUUUUUACCAUGCAUAUUAUAGAAAUGACAAAGGAGAGAGAGAGAACGAAAGCUGUGCAUUUCAAAGAAAAAAAUUGUGACAUCUCUUCAAAUUCUUUAACCAUGAGUGCCAGGUCAGGAUAAUCAAUUUUUAUCAUAAAUAGUAUUUAUCUUAUUUAUAUUACUAAUUAUUAUUAUUAUUAUUAUUAUUAUUAUUAUUAUUAUUAUUAUUAUUAUUAUUUUUAUAUACUGUAUAAAAUGUAUUUAAAAUUACAAGAAUAGAGAAAAAAAUACAUUCAACAUAUCAAAUUAUUUCCUUGCUUAUUUUUUGGUUUGACAUUAUUCCAACAACACAGACCAUUAUAGCCCUGAACUAUUGAAAUGGUGAGAAUGAAGCAGAGGAUUUGUAGACAUCAUUCUUUGACUAAAAACUUGUAGGAAACUAAGUUAAAGGAUGUUUAAAAGCCAAAAAAAAGUAUAUGUCAAUUAGCAACCCUAUGAGGUGGGCAUUGGGUAAGCCUGACUGCCUCAGCCUAUUUGACCUGACCUGGCUUAGCCUUUGAGUGUUGUACAUGCUGCAAUCUCCACUGUUGAAAUAUGAAGCUAAUUUGGAAGUUUAAAACUGCUUUUUGUAAGUGUCCACCUUUAAAAGCAAAGGAAACCACACUGGGUUAAAACGUCCAUUUCUCUAUCAGAAAAUAAUAACUCACUUUAUCUGGUAUAGGAUAUUAUUAAAUCCUCUAUACCUACAGUAUAUACUGAAUCACAACAACUGCAUAGGGGGAAGUCUGUUUAUGUCAAGACCAUGAUUUAUGCACACUGAACGUAUAUUAAUAUGGAUUCCUCUGUCCUCUCCCAGCCUCUAUUGCAGUGCCAAAAUACUGCCUCUUUGGUCUCAAACAUAUUGCACUGGUAAAGCCAAAAACACAGAGGUGGUCUGGCUGGGUGAGACAUGACAAGGAUGCCACACCCACCCUGCUAAUAAAAUAUAUACUUGACUGACUGAUAAUAUAUCAAAGGUCCCUCAAGUCAGAAUAACUCACAUUAGACCACUUUAAAUGGACUGUAAGCGUUAUUUCAUCACAUCACAUCACAGUCACCUUUAUACACCAAUGGCUGGCACUAAUACUGGUGUCCAUCAAAAUUAACCAAUCCCAUUCACACACUACAGUAUAUUCAUUGGGGGUAGUUUUGGGGAUUGAUGUCUGUUUCAAGGACAGUUCAGCAUUUGGACUGCAGGACCGGGAAAAGAACUGGUAACCUUUUGACUGAGACAUGACCGACUCUACCACACGGCUACAGAAUGGCGGCUAAAGGCCAUCAGUGCCGGUCGGCACUGAUUGUUUUCCAUACAAGUUAAUGUGUCAAAUUCCACUGGCUUCUUUCUGGCCCCCUGCAGUUCAGCGGUCUUCAUAGCCCAUCUUCAUAGUGACAACUCGUUAACAUGCAAUUGCAUGUGAAUUUGCAGGUUCUUUCGAGUCCUUGUGAUUCCUGCUGUCUAAAAUUUGCCACGAAAUUUGCCUCACCAACGCAUCUAGUACGAUUUGGCAGAUGGCAUGAUCGCUGCCGUUCUGCAUGCAGUUGAAUUUGGGUGUUACUCUUGUAGUCCACUAAAGAAUGUACCAAGAGCUCAGAUUUGUCAACAGAGACGUCAAUUGGGCCCCUUUUAACAUCAAAUGUCUAAUCAAACCCUUAACAUACAAAUUUGGGUUUCAAAGACUAGCAGAAAGCAUGUCUUGAAAAGGUCUUGAGUCACUCAGGAUAAUUGUUGUUCGUUACGUUUUAUUUGAAAUAGUUUAUAGCUAUGAAGACAUAGGUAAAAUUAAGGGCGCAAUAGUCUUGCUAGCACACAGCUAGCAAGACUAUUGCCUCAACUCUGCCUCUGCCUAUUUCUACAUUAGCUGUAAGCAAGUUGGAGCAGCCAUUUCCAACCUGGCGCCAUUCCUGGGCAAUGUCUCUGAGACUCUAACAAGGAUUUCUACAGAAAAAUGCUGCACAGACAGAAAAGAGGAGUCACAUGACAGAGCUAUCUGGACUGUACCUUGCAACACAGCGAUUUCAUGUUAGAGCCUCUUCAAUUGUUCUGUCUGGUCAAUAUAGUCUGUCUUCUUGUGCUUUUUAAUCCUGUACUUUUGGUUUGUAGAUUGUGUCAUUUCAAGACUUAAAAAUAGGUCUUCUUCUAUUGAGAUCGCGUCAAAUUGAAUUCUCUCAUGUAUCCUAUCCUGUUGUAUCAUAUAAUCUCACGUUGUGUAACAAAUCCAUCUUUUAUCCAUACUUUUAGUUGUGUCUGCUCAACAUUUACACCAAAUGACCAACAAGAUAAAAUGGCCAUGUAUUUUCCAGGUCCAUAAAUCAGUUAUGGGGAUGAAAAUAAUGGCUGCAUCUGACAGUGACUCAUAAACAUGAAUUCAUUCUGGCAUUGUGACUCUAUCCCCUAGUGCAAUGUAUUAAUAACAAACACACACACAUACAAGCACCCCCACAUAUACACACACAAGCUGGCAUUCUGACUCCAUCCCUGGGCACAGCACAUAAAUCUUCCCUAAUAACAGCGGUGGCAUUUCAGCAACAAUAGGGAUUACACACAACCUCUGUCGAAUGGUCUACCAGCCAGAACACACACAGAUACUGACACAGAAACACAUACACACUCUCAAGAUACACAAUAUGCUGCAAGUUUCUCAAGUUUCACCAGUGAAAGUGGGAGGCAGACAGAAAGAGAGAGAGAGAGAGAGAGAGAGAGAAAGAGACAAGUAGAAAGUGAGAGAAAAAAGCUCCCUUUGAUUUCUCUUGUUUUGUCAGACUAUAUUCACACGGUGAAGCCUCACAUUGGCUUUACCUGCUGGGUUUUUACUUUGUUCCAGUGCAAUCAAAUGUGAUGAUCCAUUUUAAAUUUACAUAAACACUAAAUAUCCGUGUAAAGAGUUAUAUAAAUAAGCGAGAACAGAAGUAGAUCUAGCUUUGAGGAAAAUACACUUCAUCAGAAAUGUCCAGAUGUGAUAUGUCUAUCUAUCUGCCCCUUUUGUUGGUGUCUCUAAAACGCUAAAUUAAAAAAGUACAGAAAAAAAUCUGUUGGUGUAGAAUAAUCAACAGGUUGGAGGUUCUUGAUAAAGAGAAAUAAUGUCAGUUAGGAGCCAAACAAAACAAAAACAACAAAAAUGGGAAUGUAUACUGUACAGCUGUACCCAUAGACUGUAUAUAGAAUGGACAUUGUCUGCCUCCUUACUGGAUGAAGCCACCCCGAGAACAGCACCCUCUGGUGACUGGUUGCAGUAUAGGUCAUUAAUCCCGCCUCCUCCAGCCAACUUAAUGGAGCUGUGGACAAACUUUGUUUAUCAAUUACACAGAAUGUAAAAUUUUCUCCCCCCUGGUUGUGAUGUUGACAUAUGGUAUUGUAAAGCCAAGUUGUCCAUAGUAUAUACAGUGUAUAGCUGUACCCAGAAGGGAUGAGUCCCAGCCUUAACAUGCUUCCUGGUCUAGGUCUUCCUGACUUCUUUCAAACAUCUUGAGUCAAACUCUUCUCUUUACAUUCUAACUUUUCUUUCCUCUCUCUCUUUCAAAGGGGGUUUUACAGAGGAAGUUGUAGAGUGUAAGGCCAAAAAACCAACUGGGAUGAAUCCUUUUCAGGCUUCUUGACCUAGCUUUGCCUUCUCCUGCCUUCUUUCUAACAUCUUUCUCCAUAUUUCUUCCUGUAUUUUGGUGUGCGGGUAUGGUGGUAGAUGAAAGCAAGUACAGGGGAGAUUGAUACUGGAAAACAGAUGAGGAUCCUUUAUUUUUAUCUAAACUAAAACCACUAUCAGUACUCGGUAAAUAUCAAAGCCUUUGUUGCAACCACAAACAUAUUCUCUAUUAUUUGGUGGAAAGAUAUGACUCAUGUUUACAGGGAUAAGGAAACAGAUUAUCGUGUUUUAGUUUGGAAAAUUUUGGCAUUAGUGGUUUUAAUCACAUACUUUAGUCUCAUUAAAACGGAUGUUUGGAAGUUAACCAGGUUGCAAUUUUAAAUGAAAGAGCUAUUUUGAAUUGAUGAGAAAAAAUUAAUUUCUCUUUCAAAUAUCUCUUCAACAGUUUUUUUUUCUAACCCAACCUUGGAUAAACCUCAUGGAAACCUUGAGAAUUGACUGCAGUAUUGACAAGCCUCAACACGAUUGACUUUAUUUGGUUUUGAAUCACGCGUCCAGGGACCGUAAUACAACCAGGUUUCAAUCCAGAUCCUCAUUCUAUGAUGGUGACAGAGCUAACGGUUAAUUCUCCCCAAGGUGUUGAGGGUCUCACUUAUUGAAAUAUCAGCGUACCAUUGUGUUCACUGGAUAUACCAUGGGGGUUGUUUCUGGUAUUUAUAACCCUAUUGGAAAAAAAGUUGAAGAAUUGUUUCACCCUUCAGGAAUCAGAAAUCCAAAGUACAAUUUUACUAUCAUGAAUUGUAGUUGUGACCUAAGUUAGGGAGACAAAACCGAGAUCAUGGAGAAAUUUAUUUUUUCCUGAGCCAAUCUCAGUCAACAACUCACUGCAGAUCUCGGUCUGUAUUCUUUUGGAUUGACAUUUUACAAACGAUACCUUAAGAAAAUAACUUAAUUAGACAUUUAUCUUCUGACAGAAAUAUACCAUGAAAUAUUCUGUACAACCAUUCUACCAUAUUCAAGUCAUUUUCUCAGUGAUUUUCUAGCUGUUUGUGUGUCCUGCAACAAGCAAGAUUUCCCUCUAGUUCUACCAGAAAUGUGUAGAUUUAAGAGUACAAGAUCCUCAAACAGCUGAGACCUCUUCAUUUAUCAUGCUGCAUUCUAGUUGUACUUCAAAGUCGGAAUUUCCAAGCUCCGAGUCAAGAAUUUAGACGAUCCUCACCAACCCCAACUUGACAAUAACGUCAUUAUCCACGAUGGCAGUGCAAUGCAUCAACCGUACAGAGUAACAGUGAAGGCUCUCGUAAUGUAUUAUUUAUUAGCGCUUCUGUUUUGUUUUUGGGAAAUUAAAUAAGUGGUAUAUGUUGUACUGCCCAACGUCCAACUGUGAACACGGUGCUAUGGUGUUUAUAAGAGUAAAUACUGUGUUAUGCGUUGUUUACAACUAGUAAAGCUAACAGCAAUGAACAACAGCUGACAACGGCUAACAGUAGGCGUCCAUUUUGGUUUUCCGACUUGUAAACUGGAACACCAUCAACUCGGGUGUAACAUCAUUCCUAGCUCCGACUUCUGAGGUAACUGAAACGCAGCAUUAGUCCAUGAGAACAUUUCUCCAGCAGAGUUCAGCUCGUUGAUAACAGCACUUUAGUGAAAACAGAGGAGCAGGCAGGACUCUAUCUUCAAAUCAGCCAAAUUCAUCUGAGGAAUCAGGGUGAUAAAAACCACAACAGCACAUUUGAUGCCCACUGCACAGUCAGAGCUGAGAUAAUAACCCAAGACCUGUUCAAAGAUGUUUUCCUCUUGUCAACCUGUCCAGCUGACAUGUUUAAAACAAACUGUUAAGCCGCUGACUGUGCCAAAUGUAUGUUCAGAAAGGUGUGCUGUCCUCAGAUGCCCCUGCCGUAUCCGCUGCGGUAACAAUGUGUCCUGCACUAAUGCACUAAUUAGGAACUGUGACGGGUAAAUUUCUAAAGCAUCACCUCAAAUAAUGGAAAUUUGUCGGGUAGUUUGUGGAAGUAGUCACAUUAUUCAUCACUGUCACACUAUCUCAAUCCCCAUCUGGAGGAGUUUAGAAAUGAAUAUAAACUCCUCUGUGCUGCAACAACUUGAUACUAACUUCUAAUUUACUGAAUCCUGUUUUACACCCCAAACUGCUGAUGACAGAGUUUGGAUAAUUGCAACCUAAUUAAGUAUGCUUAAGAGAAUUAUGUGUGUUUCAAUGAUUAUAUGUGUCUUUUUUAAAGAUGCUUACUGUUGUUGCCAUUAGCAGAGGACUAUGUACUGGGGCUGCCCAUAAAUCAAAUAAUUUAAGAGGAGAGGUAAAGUCAUGACUAACAUCAGACAACAAUUAAAGGAGGACAUGUUUAUUGGUUUAUCAUAUAUUGUUCCUAUUUGUGGUAAUGAUUGUUCGGACAAAUUGCAUGCUACAUUACUGCCUAAUAUUGCUGCUUCAGUGGAUAGUCGGUAAUUACAGCAUACUAAUGAUUACAGUUUGUAAUGAUUUGCAUGCCAUUAUGUUGACUUUAUAGGAAAAUAAUCAGGUGUUGAAGCCAUAAACCUCCUAACCUACUGCUGAGCCUGAAAGUCUUUAAACUGCUGUUUCUAAUUGAUCUGUCAUAAGAGCACUUACAAUGAGAUGCCUCAAUUUACAAAACCUGUGACAGCCAGAGGUGCCUUUCUGUCAUUUUUUAAAUGUGCGUGGCUCGGUACCUUGAGAUGGAGAUGCACAAGAGUGUCACUGCAGCCCAGAAGAGGAGUGAUUUCCACAUACCCUGACUGAAGACUCUCCUCUAUAAUUACAGCUAUUGAUAAGAAGCAGCAAGCACUUACUCAUAAUUACUGGUCUCUCAGCUAGGUAACAGCUGCUGGCCAGACAAUGGUGGAAUUUUGGAAUCAGAUUUUUAUUACCCUGAAACUGAGAAAAGAAAACUAUAGGAUACAAACCAAUGCAUGGAGGAAAAGAGAGAGGAGGGCUCGUGCAGAGAGAGUAUUGGUAGACAGACUGUGCAGGGUUCAUUUGUGGCAUUGGUCUGACACGGUCAUUAUAAUGAUUCUGCCUAUGCACACUUUGACUUUCUUUGCUAACAAGUUCAUGCCUGUUGCAUAAAAGUAACUUGGUUGAUUUAGUAUGUUUAUCUGUGUUUUGCAGGGUACACAGUGCACACCAUGACUCCAGUUAGGGACUGUAGUUGGAACAGAUACCUGUUGUCUUCAGUCACCAGAUUAAAGUUAGAGCUGUCAGAUCUGUAGCCCAACUGUCCUGGAUUUCAGAGCUGCGGGGAGCAUUUGAACCUUGUUAUGACUGACUAGAAUUAAAGCCAAAAGAACUUCAUGUGACUUUAAACAACUCAGUGGCAACUGUCUAUUAUACAUCCAGUCCAAAUCUGUGCUAACCAAGAAAUAAGCAGAGGAAAAGUAACCGUGUUGCACCCUGGUUUGCUGGUUCACUGUAGGCCUUGCUCUAAUACCAAAACAAAAAACAGCAUUGGAUGCAUACACAUAAUGAACGUUUUGUUUACUGUGAUGUAAAACUGAAAACGAGGCCAAUAUUUAGACUUAACCAUGCUUUGUGUUGUGUAACAGGCUGCUGCUCACCCUGUUGGGAUUUCAAACCACGAUUACAACUUCGUCACAAUACAUCAUUCCCUGCAUACUCUUACAUGCAGGGAAUGAUAAAUGAAAAAUACUGAGUGUUUACUUUUAUUUGUUCAGCUUCCUUAACUAAAAUUGAGAAUUACAAAGCUAUAAGAAGAGGCAGGUUUUCAUUAUGCUUCUUCAAACUAUUUUGUACUGUAUAAAAGAUUCUACACAAGAUGGCCGGGCGGGUUAACGCACCCCAUGUAUGGGGACCACAGUACCCACAGCGGUCACAGGUUCAAGUCAGGCUCGACCAUGUGCUACAUGUCCUCCCCACUUUCUCUCUAUCUCCCCACAUUUCACUUUGUCCUAUCAAUUAAAGGCAAAAAUGUGCCCCCCCAAAAAAAUAAAAAUAAAAAUAAAUAAAUAAAUAAUAAAAUAAAAUAAAAAAAAUAAUACUACAGUUUCUACACAAAGGAUACUGCUGAGAAAAGACGGUAAAAUGAGAACAUUCAGUAAAGUUGUGGAUGCUGAAGCCUGGCAGAGUUGAUAGAGUAGAGCUUAUGAAAACAGGGAAAACACACUCUCCAGGUAACUCCGAACUGUCUUAAUCAACAGUUACCUGUUGACAGGUUGAACAUCACUGAUAAGGCAGCUGUUACUUUCUGGUAAAGCAACUCUCAAUCGGAGAGUUGGUGGUUAUAUCCAUAUAGUGUCCUUGGCUGUGACACUAGAGCCAAAAUAACACCCUAUAUCCCAGCACCAGAGUAUAAAUAAGUAAAAAAGCGGAAACAUUACAAACAUAUGCAGGCCAUUUAUAAUCAGAUUCCAUUGGCUUAAAUAAAUUGAUGUCAGAAGGAUGUGUGAACCUUCAAUUAUCCGUGUAGGUCUGCUAUGAUACCUGCAAUCCACUGUGAAAAGUAGUUGUAUUUAUUGUGAAGUUUUUGAAUUUCACCCAUGCUGCCCUUGUUAUUUUAAUAUUAUUUUAAUCCAAGAGAUGACUGACCACUACUGAGCCACAGUUUCCUCCCUUGGUUUAAUAAUUCAGCCCAGCUAAUCCCACAAUGCAAUUUGCUUUGGUGUCCUUGCUGAUCUAAAGUAUAGGUGUAGUAUUACAUACAGGUUGAAAUGAAAAAGCAGAGGAAUAUUCCUCACGACAACUCAUUCAUGUAGCAUGCCAUCCUGAUACAGAUUCCAGGUUAAAAAUAUAGAUAAAUAACAUGCAUGCUUAUGGGAUAAUAACUGUUUUCAUAUAAGAAAGCACAGAGGUGUUCCUUGUCGUUUUUGCUAUUGGAUUUUUUUUUUCUUAGUUAUGGUCCUGUCUUUAUGUCUAAAAAAAUCUAUAAAUAAACUGGCUGGGGGAGAGAAUCCACAGGCAGGUAAGGUUGUUGUUGGUCAGCCACAUGUUACCCACUAUAGUUCUGGCACGGGCAGCUGACACCUGGAAGUCCUACAUGGUACUAUUCCUAGGGUUGUAUUGCUGUGACAGUACAAGGUAUAAAAAAAUAUAUGAAUAAAAAUGCAUGAAGUCGGUGAAAACUUUUGGAGCAUAUAUCAGAUGGAAAACAAAACCCACACUGCCCCCCUCAACUUGUUCAGUGUGCUACAGAAAGGCCUUGCAUGUAUUCUGAUACAUAGUAAAGGAAAAUAUCAUGGAUUUUGCAAGUCAGAAAGCUCACUAAUUACACUUCCUCUUACUAAUGCUAACAAAAACAUAUAUAAAUGUAUACAGUGCAUCUUUUGAGUCUGUCUCUUUUUGGUCUCAAAUUAACAUUUAGAGAAACAGCUACCGGACUGUGUUUUGUUUUGACAAAGAUGAUUUAUUUAUUCAUAGCCUUUGUGGAGGGUAGUUUGGGGAAAAUAACAAAAAGAAGUUAACCCUGACAGCAAAAGAGGGCAUCUUUGGGGGCAGCGAUUGCAAAACACAAAGACACACAGGAAUCAAACUCAUCUCAGAGGAGCAGAAGAAUUAAUAAGAAGAAAAUUUAGUUUGUUUGGUUUAAAAUGGCCACUGUCAAAGCAGGCACAGGGGAGAUGCAAGGCUCUGGUCUGCCGGGACACAAAAUCAGAUGAUUGUUUACAGAGAGGAUGCUUCUCUUGCCUCUGUUGUUUUCCCAUAAUUCAUUUGUUCCCGCUCAGAAAAUAACACUUGCUGAGAAGCAUCUGAAGAAAUCAUCAUGGGAAAACUUUUUUUUUUUCUUUCUUUUUCUGCUUUUCCUUGUGAAUGGUGAAGAUGUGGAUAGAGAAGGUGUAUGCCUGGGCUGUGCAAUUUGUUUCAAUCUCUUUUCCUUUGUCUAUCUUUUUUACUCAACUGUCUGGCUUUUUCUAACCACUUUUCCUGAAAAACACUAAUGGCAAACAAUGAUAUGCAAGGUUAAGUUGUUAAAGAGGAUGAGAGAGAGAAACAAAAUCCGAAAACACAGGGCUUUAUUUAUCUGCUAAACACGUCCUCUUCAUAUCUAUUUUUUGUCGCUUGUCUCUCUUCUUACAUUCACCGUUUCUGAGUGUCUGCUCUGCUUCCUGCUCUGAUCACUCCUACAGCUGUGGGCACAUAAAUUGAUGGUUUCAUCAACAUACCAGCAAUUAACUGGAUUCAUUCUUCAAAAAAUCUCACCGGCAAAAACACUCAACUUUAUAGCAGACCUAUGCUAAAGCACUCUUUGAGUUAGUCUGAUAUGUUUGGGUAUAUGUCUGUGAGUCACGCUCUAUAUAAAGGGCAGAGUGCACCUGUCGGGGAAAGGGAUAUAGUGUGUCUACUGAAAACAUUUUUUUUAUCCCUCUCUUGAAAUAAAUGCACGUCAGGGCUGAUAUAGAGAGCAUCAUGAUAAAAUGCAAGGAGGGCACUGAGCCUACACACACAACAUAUGCACACACACAGAUGAAGAGUGCAUAUACAGAUAUCUCAAAGGGGCUUGUUUGAGUAUUAUGUUGAUUUUUCCUGUAUGGUUGCUUUGUUUGUGGUCAAUGGUUUUACAUCAUUGUGUACUGAGUCAAUAAUUUCACUUCUGCUGUGCAUGCAGGAUACAUAUUUUAUUUAUGUAUGAAUUCACUAGCUGGAGGUUUUGCAGUUAUUUGAAGCUACCGUGAAGUGUUUUAUUCUCAUGAAAAGAGGGCUUUUUCGACUUCCCUUUUUCUUGCACAACAUGUAUGCUGAAUACUCUGCCUGCAAGAAAAUUCGCAGUUGGAUGCUUAUAUGCUGCCUACCUCCAACGCAGCACUUAAUGGCAUUUAAGCUGUUCAACAUAAACGUGCAAUCGCCAGUGUGCACACAAACAUCUAGUUAGCUUUGCUGUAAUAUUCAAUAUCAAUGCAAAAAUACUGAGACUAGGAAAUGGUUCCCAUUUGAAAAGCCUUAAAAGCAGAAUCCACAACCAGUGUUUAGGAAGCCACCAACCAAAACACUAUUAUUUAGCCAUGCAUUCAACGCUCCUUUACCAUCCAUCCUCUAACAAGCAUUGACUUUCAAAUGGGACACGCAUUGACUUCAGAAGGGACUGUCUUUGAGAAGUGUGGCCUCACAUGGGGACAAGUAUCGACUUCAAAGGACACAUGCUUUGAAACACAUUAGAUUCAAAUGGGCUAGAUUCAAUACAGCAUUAGCUUCAAAUGAGUCAUCCUUCAUAGUUUAUUGACUUCAAACGGCGAGAAGCAGAGUGAAAAGCAACACACCCAGUUACUGAUAUGCCAUACCAGUCCCAGAGUUGGGGCAUUCACCUCUGCUAGAAUGAAAAAGGGAGAAAAAUUACUAUAAUUUAAGUUUUUUGAUUCGUAUGGUUUAGCAAACUGAAAUGAAAAGGAAAGAAAACAAGACAUGACAUAAAAGAUAAGAAAAAGUGUUUUGUUCGUGUUUCUCCAAAUAUGUAAAAUACAUUCCCCUAAUGGUGCACAUGAAUACCUAACGGGGAAAAACUUAUUUAAAUCCAGCAAUAUGGAUCACAAAAUACUAAUUUGUAUAGUUUUAUCAGUUGCAAAUUGCAUUGAAGUUUUACGAACAAGAUUUACAAACACUGCACAGUGUUUCCCCUACAUUCAUUCAGCACCGCUGCUGCUGAAUUAUCACAUGAUCAUUAACAUUAAUGCACCGCUAAUGAUUUCUAGUCGCACUGUGUGAGCAGAACAACGCACAACAUUAUUUUCGACUUGUUUUGAGUCAUCAACAAGUGCUGUCGGACCCUCUUCCAUAUAUAUGAAGGGUAAUGUUUGAGCUUAUACGCAGUCUACAUAGCGAGUAGCGCGGGUAACAUAACGUAUAACAGCGACUUGAGAAAAAAAAUGGGUUAACUUCUCACAGAAGUUCAGAUGAAUACUUGAAGACUGUGGAGAGGAUAUUUUUAGAGUUGUUUCCUUAUAGAUUGUUUUGUUGGUUAAAAAUAAACAGUGUUACUCUCAUUAUUGAGUUAGAGUAAAAGGAGGGAAUUUCAGUUUGACAUUAUAGUUCAUCCUCUGACGAUCACAUCCUCACCAAAUACCACAUCUUCAUGAAAAAAACCAUUCAUCACUGUUGAUAUUUAACACAAUAAAUGCCAAUAAAGUAUCUCUUACUUUUUUAAUAUGAAAAAAUACUUAAAUGUGUAUUAGCAUUCCUACAAAUCACUGAGUCUGUAAAGGUGCAGAGGCCUUAUGUUGAGCUAGAUGCUCUUAAUAUGGUAUAAAGAAUUCGAGGUCACCACCUUAAUCCUCCACAGACAUUAAGAAAAAAAGAGCAAAAAUCAUGCAUCAAUUACUGUUGCUGGAUGGCUGAGCUAAGUGCAUGCUAAACCACAGGCUAGCCUGAGGUGGUCCUAAUGUAAUGAUAAUUCACAGACCUGGAGCCUGACUAGGGACUGGAAGACAGCUAUGUGUGUGUAUUAGUAUGUAAAGACACCACCAGAAGGAAACACACACAGAUUUAAAGGAAUAGCUCUCGCAGUACAUGUUGUGUGAUUGUCUAUGUGCGCACAACUUCAUGUGUGUUUGUUGGAGUUCAAUGCCGGCUCAAGUGAAAAUAAAGUGAGAGACUGUUUUCGGGCGAUUAGUCUGACCCCUAGCAUUAGCCAGUUAUUUCCCUUGGUAGCUAAACAUAUUAGACCAUCCUCUGGCCCUUGAGCUGCAAACACAACCACAGACUCACACCAACACUCAUACUUAAACACACACAGUCUUAGGCAUGCAAAAAUACAUGUGUGGCAGGUUUAAAGGGCAGGGGCAAAAAAUCGUUUUGAGAGAUAAAUAAAAGUCAGAAUCAUAUUAAAUUGGAUUCUUAAGGUUAUCAGCUUGCGGGUUAACUCAUCUGCAAACGAAAAAAAAAAAAGUUGUAAGCCCUUGAAUUCUAAUGCCCGUCAUUUUACCAUGAAAAUCCAGCAUUUUAAUCCCAGAUCGGCUAAGUCCAGUGGACUGGAACAAAUAGCAUGCAGAGGCUGACAAGAGGAUGAGGACCAUGUCAGAGAAUCCAUAAGAAUUCUAUAUGCUUGGGGCAGGCCUUGAUGGGAACUGCCGAUUAGCAGUGCACACAAAAAUACAGCAGAUAUCUUGACAAUAUGAUUGGCAUUUGGAUUAAAAAAUAUAUAGAGAGUAAGGAGCUUCGUGUCUAACUUAAAGUGAAGAGAUGGAGAGUUUGGAGAGUGUUGGUGAAGUCCCAACUGCAUAAUUCACCUCCUUGAGCCUCACCUGUUCUCUGAGGCUGAAAUUUAUCUCACUGCGACUGUGGGGGGGAUAAUAUUAGGAACGCUUGAGCUGAGGGUUUUAUCUUAAGGUCAGGUUUUACAUAUCACUUCCACACACACACACACAAGAAUUAUGCAAACACAGUUGUUCAGAGUUUUUCAGAGCUAAACACAAAUGUUGUGUGUUUAAAAGUUUGGCAAAUGUCUGCAGUCUUUGUUCAUGUUCACACAAAUACGUAUACAUGCAUUAGUGUGCACAUGGUGUCUUGAAUGUCCUGAUGGUGCACACUCAAUUACACAUACACUGUUAGUGACAGCACCUAUCUGCCACCCACAGUAAGUGACCUGGGUUAAAUAUGUAAUGACUGCUUGUCCCACACUCAGGAUUAAUGGGCUGUGGAGAAAGGAGAUAAAGGCACAUCAUUACACACACACACACACACACACACACACACACACACACACACACACACACACACACACACACACACACACACACACACACACUCCUUUAUAAAAGAGGAAGAAACAUCAUUAAAACUGGUGGAAUCUUGUGUGAUAUGGUUGAGUUUUUUUUUUUUUUUUCUUAAAGACUCAUUUGCAUAUUUUAUAAAAUAUUUUGUAAGUGAAAGUUCUUUUUCGUAGACUUUGUGUCAAAUGAAGAUGAGAAUACUAACCAUCAUCAAGCACAGGAAAAAAUAUUAAUAUGCAACCAAAUAACUAACUUCUAUGUUGCCCCUUGAAAGAGUAAUUUCUCAAUUCCCGGGGUGAUUUGGUUAAUUUAUUCCAGUCAGCAUUGAAAUGACUAAUCAAAAAUAAUAUAUAUAUUGUGUCCAUUGCCUUCAGUAGCCCAUUUCUCAUUACAAUGUCCUGAUUCCUCAGCAUUUGACACAGACCUCGAUAACCCAGGUAAUGUCUGAGCCGGUUUGGUUUUCGUUGGUAAUGCACUCGUGUUUAUGAGGUAGGCCAUAGUGCUAAGAGUCUUGCCUAAGGACCCACACUGGUUGAUGUAAUCUGCUCUCUACGGAUGUGUGUCAUACGGUAUUCGAACCCCAACUGCCUAGUAGGGAACCAGAUGCUCUACCCACUAAGCUACCCAGCUGCUAGACAAACAGCAGAGAAAAGCCGUUGUGGUAGGUGUCACCAUCCCAAUCGAUACCAACAUCAGGAAGAAGGAACACGAGAAACUGGAGAAGUACCAAGGGCUUAAAGAGGAGCUAGAGAAAGCCUGGAAGGUGAGGGCAACAGUAGUACCUGUGGUCAUCAGACACUCGGGGCAGUAAACCCCAUACUGGAGAAGUGGCUCAAAUAGAUCCCUGGGGAAACAUCGGACAUCUCACUCCAGAAGAGUGCAGUCCUCGGAACAGCAAGGAUACUGCGCAGGACCCUCAAGCUCCCAGUCCUCUGGUAGAGGACCCGAGCUGGAAGAGACACAAGCAGUUCCUUCAUACAGAGAAAAAAGUAAAGAAAAACUCCUCCUUGUACUCAGUGACCCAGUCUGCAUGUUGGGGGUAAAGUUCCAGAUAGAUUUAACCCAGCUGCCACUGGGAUAAAUCUAUCUGUCUAUCCACCAGUGGUGGAAUUGGUUAACUGGUAGUUCAACGGUUUAAUUCCAGGUGCGGCUGUCAACAUGACAAAGUGUCUUUGGGCAAAAAAACCUUUCUCCAAAACUGAUCAAGGUGCUGUGCCAUCAUGUGGGUGGGAUCAGUCAGUAUGGAUGAGUGCUUUACAUAGCAGCCUCUGCCAUCAGUAGAUGAAUGUGGUGUGAAUGGAUGAAAGUGUAAUAUAAAAGUGUUAUGAGAGACCAGUAGACUGGAGAAAGCACCGUCAGCACAAAAUUCAUCAACUUCUACUUACGGUGAAAAAAGUUAUAAUGAAUAGUUAUGCCAAAGUAUCAUCAACAAACUUAAUAUACAGGUAUAUUACUUAGAGGUCAUCCAGGGGUAAGGUUUUUGUCUUGAUCACUGAAAUUUUGAGCCUAAUUAUGCUAAUUUGUAGUCCACCACAAAUACCAUGAGCUCUCAGCAGAUGGUUAAUAUUUUUCACUAACUGCAAGGGGGUGUUAUAGUGCUAGUGUUAGGGAAGAUUUUUUGUUUGUUUGUUUGUUUUGUUUUGUUUUUUGCAAAGAGGCUCAUUUGCCUAAAAAGCAGCAUAAAUUGCUCCACACCCUUUGUGCAUGCAUUUAACCCAUUUCUUUAUGGCCUGAUUCCACAUAGUUAAAGGGGAACAAAGGGGCACAGUCCUUUAGUGAAUUAGGUCCUUCAUGUGUACGUGGAUAUUAAAGUCAUGACCAGCUUUUGUGUAUGUUUUCAAGACAAGGAGUAACAGCCAUUAAGAAACACCUGAAAAAACACAUAAUCUUGCAGUGAUCCCAGUAAAACUAUUUGUAUGAUACAGUAUGAUACCAAGUAUUCAAAGGCCAAAGCUCUGGUAUGUCCAACAAAAUGAAGUUAGUUGGAGUAAUUGUAGCCGUGAGCCUUGCCCACCCUGGAGGGAAUUUUGUAAGAACUGCUCCGAUGAAGGGGUUACGCUAAGAGACCAGUCUCUGCGGUGUAGUUAGUGAGGAACUAAAUAGGAAAGGGGGCACUGCCAGAUAUUCUGGCUACAUGAAAAAUAUUCACAGUGGGCCCCGCCAUUUCAAGACCACAAAAUUUCUAAUGCCUUUUAUGGCACAUUUUAGUCAUGGGUCCUUACAAUUUCCAAUCUUUUCAUGCAGCCUUUGCUGGAGUAAAAGGAACCCAGGUGACUUUUCACUUGAUGACCACUCUGCAUCCGUUCAAAGCAGCUGCCCCAUGUGCUAAAAAUAAAGCCUAAGGUGUAAAAAACUGCAGCUCCUUGAUUGUCCAUUUGAGGUGGGCUCCAAAAGCCAAGGAGAUCCUUCAAAGAGGACAAAUGAAAAUGUCUUCUCAUUGGAAUUACAGAUGUUUACAGCCCGGAAAAGAAAACGCUAUUGACCUCAUUUCUUUAUCCGUGCCAACUGUGUUGCUAAAUAUGAAGUUUAGAAUAUACUACUGCUAAAUAUAACCAGGCAUCAUUGAGGACAAGGCUGUCUUGACUGAUGUUGACGUUUGGCUAAUUGAAAAACUGUCAAAGAGUUGGAGUUGAGGCAGGCUUUAAGUUUCCUAGCAAAUAGCUGCAAUAGCUGAUAGCUGAUAUGGUGACCACCAUGUUAGAGCUUCAAAUGCAUUUCCAGAAACCAAUGAAUGAAGUCACAGAGACUGUCAAUAAGUCUGUUGUGGGCCAAACUACUGGUGAUUUUGGUGAGGUGAGAGGUGAGUUUGGAAACACACAUGCACUAUAAUGUGCUGCAGUCAAGCUCCUCACUCAGUGGUAGACGGUCAACUAUGUGGAGGGAUUUAAAAAAAAAAGGUCUUGAUAGUUUCAAUGCUAGUGAACUGUACUGCACAGACACACACAUUUGAUUUUGUUCAUUGCAUUUAAGUCAUCAUGAUUAGUAAAUUACGUAUCAACCAACAUAAGCUUAAAUAAUAUAAACCUUGUAUGUUAACAAACCACAUAUUAAAUCCAAACACAAUGAAAGAAAAAGGUUUUUAGAAAAGAUUUUGUUGUAUGGGUUGAAAAUGUUUUGAAACGGGAGAAUAUUGACUGAUUACUCAGAUUUUUAAUUCACAGAAAACUGAAAAGUGAUGACAUAGUUUUUAUAAACCCCAGCUGGAGCCUGCAACGAAAUGCCGGGGGAGGUGUUUGGACUGAAAGUUGAACCCAGAACUCGUACAGGGCAGGGGCGGCAAUGCCAGAGCAGGGGAAGUGACAGGAAAUUUUGCAAUUUAAACAGACCACUAAAUUGGAAAUGGUAUGAUCAUGAGGCGAUUUUAGGAACGAUGCAUGCUGAAUGUGAAAUCAGCGCAGCUUGCUUGCAGGCAUUGCUCCUUGCUCUGUUUCAAUAAAUUAACUUUUUAUGCCAACUUUCAGAGUGACACUGUUUUAGUUGGACAUUUGGUCUACUGCUUACAAAGGGUGCAUGGUUUAUACAUUUGGACAAAGUUACUUUCUAAUAUUAAGCAUACAGCCCUUUCUCAUAAUUUUUUUACCACCAGUUUAUCUUCCACAAGGUACCACAUCACAUAAAUUUUUCAUGCUUUUAAGGGUUGAAAAUGGACAAAACAUUUCUUGUAACUGUUUAAAGAAAUGGAUUGUGAAGGGGUGAGCGUAUAUAAAUCCAUAAAUCAACUUCCCACAGCGCUGUUGGUGGUGUAUAAGCUGCUAGAUAGUAUUGAAAACAUAUCACAGACUGGAUGUCAGAUAUUUCAAUCUGCAAGGUACAGAGUCAAAUCUCAAAGACAAACAAGUACAGGCGUAGUACUGCCCAGGUGGUAUUGGUUCCUCCACCUUCCUCCUCCUCUUUUGGGUUCCUGGGACAGCUAAGGGCUGUGCCCAGCAGAUCCGGAACACACUGUGCACCUUAAUCCAUUUCCUGGGGUGUAUUAAUUUACAGUAUUUUCAAGAUCAUCAUAUUUAAUAAGGCAAGAGCAGCUGGUGAAUCUAUGUCCAUCAUGAGAGGACUCUGUGGCAGGGGAACUUAAAUCCCUCUAACAUCGGGAGGCACAGAGAACGUUAUUUAUGGUUCAGAUAUAUGUGUUUCUAUAAUUCUUAUUCCCUUUUGCAAAAUGUCAAAAGUCUUUCUUGAGCUCUCAUUGUAUAUUUUAAAUGCAUGUUUUCUUUGUGUCUUGUAAUGUUGUAAAUGACUUACUGAUUUGUUUUUAAAACUAUCAUGCAAUUUCAAUUUCUACUCUAUUAAAAAUGACAUUUAAUAAAUACAAUUCCCUCGCCUUGCCUUUUUUAGUAUGUAUGUAUCUAGCAUGGCCUGAUCCCAACACAAUGAGCAAGGUGAACAAAACGUUCAGAUCUUUUUAAUUAUUCAUUAUAAAUAAUCAUCUUAUUUUGCAAACAAAGUGUGGUCAGCUGAGCUGUUUAACAUGGGCAGACACUCAGUUCUGAAUAAUUAAACAGCUGCAUGCAUGUCCCUAACCCUUUACGAAGAACGCUUUCAUUAUUCUCUAGACUCUCAUUAGAUGUUAUAAUAUGCUUUUUGUUGUUUUGUUUUGUAGUUUAACGUUCCAUAUAACAUUAAGACAUUCACCGUCAAUUUCUUCUUCUUCUCUUAUAUAACAUCUUGAUUUCAACCCACACGAUCUGCAUAAUGCAUGAAGAUGAUUCAAGUUUCCUGCACACACAUGCAUACACAUAGCAACAUAUGCAUAAGUACAGACACACACACAGAGACAGAUCAAGGUAUCUAUGAUUUCACCUCACAAGCAUGCACAGAGUACGUGAUGCACACACGUACUCGCACACACGUACUCGCACACAUUAUUCUGCACUUUUUAUUUGUCCCCGUAGAUGUGCUGUGUGCAUAAUCUGUUUUAAUAAUACAUAAAAGAAAUAAAGCUACUCAUUUCAUUAUUAACACUUUGGUGCUAGGGGACACCCAUGGUUUAUUCUACAUCAUAAGUUGAAAGGCUGCAUGGACACAUCCGCACUUACUGACUUUCAUAGAGAUCCAUUCACAGAUUGUUACAUUUUGAUGUAUGCAUAUAUAUUCACAAACACUGAUAUGAUGGCUGAUAUGCACAAAGAGCAAGCAAGUGACUGGGUGAGGGUGACUGGAAGGUCUUUCAUUACAUUUGAGUGGUUGUAAAUCAUUCAGGAGAUGAUGACGAUGGUUGUCUCCUUGUACCUUUAGAUCAUGAGAGAGAACAACUGGAGACUGUCAGGAAAUGGAAGGAGCAGCUGUCAAUCAACAGAUUAUUACAAAUCUGAUUUCAUUAUCAGCAUGAUUAAUGACAAAAAUGGUCACACAUAUCUGUUACUUCUCGAGAAAAUCAUGAAAUCGGCAUGUCAGUAAAAGAUCAUGAAAAAGAUAACUACUACUGACAUCUCAAUGUUGGCUAUACUUGGCGCUCAUAAAAGGAGGAGAAGUAUUCUUACAGAGGAUUCUUCUUGUCUCUGCUGCACAAUGAAGUGAUUCAUGUAGCAAGAUCAAAAAGUCUUGGAACUUUAUUUCCUAUUGAAAAAGUGCCAAAGUGAGCCAAAAAGUAAAAGUAGAAAUGAGCAACAAACUUUUCUGUGUCUCAGACUUGUAAGACUGCAGACAGAUUCAUGGUUUCGUCACGUUUAGUUACGUUUUUCAUCUUCACAACAUAAGUGAUUUUUUGGAGAUAUAAAGCAUUACAUUCUCUGAGCAGAAUUGCUGGUCUAGGACUUUUUGAGUUGAGGCAGUUUCACACAAGACAUGGAUAUCUUGGGGAACAUAUAAGUAACAUUGAUAAUACACACUGAAAGGUUUAUAAUGGCCACUUGACCAGAAAACGUCAAAUAAAGCAAUUAAUUCAUUCAGUGCCAAUGACGGAUUUGGAAGGUUUUUUUUUAUUUGCCCUGAAUGCCAUUGAUGGAUUUUGAUGGAUUUUUCAGUUGUUUUGUUUUCCUCCAGAGGGCGCUCCUCCGCAACAUGCGUCCAAUUUUGGAGUUAUUCUGAAUGCAGAAAAGCCGACAAAUACGUCAUGACCAUGUUACAAUGACUGAAAACAAGUACUGAGUGAGUAGUGUGCCAAUUAGCCGAGUUGUGGAGUGUUUUUUUUUUCUCUAUGAGCAGAGCAGGAAAAUGCCAAAGUCAUUAGCCAAGAGCUAAUGGUCUCGGCGCAUCAGCUCCCAUGGGCGCGGUGGUAAUGUCUCUGGAUUCAGUAGAUAUCCUGGUACUGGAACUCCACAUCGUCAGCCGACAAUCAAAGAAACAAUUUUCCAGCUUUACGUUGUGCCGCCAGUGCCGGUACUGGUGAGGGAGAUGGAGCCUGAAUUCAGCGACAGUCCUGGCGAGGAGGACGCAAGCGUUCCAUGUGGUUUACGUCGCGGCGUCAGGUUCUUGACAGCCAAUACAACUCCCAGCCAUCACAAGUGACCUAUCAUAAUCGGAUCUUGAGAGUGAUGAGGAGUGGUGUCCGAGGAGGGAGGACCUUGAUGCCACCGGUAAAGUAGUUUGAAGUGAAAUGAAAAAGACGUAAAAAUAUGUUUUUCCCAGGUUUCUUUUUCCAGAUGGGCAAAGAUAAUAUGACCACGCUGCAUUGAGCAGGCAAUAACUAAACACAGGAGUGGGUUAGAGGCUAACUUGUUUCUGGUGAAAGAAGAGAAUCACUCCUUUCAUUUAGGAUAUUGCACAAGUCUAGUCCAAGCACAAGAUAUUCUGUAGGUCCUGAAAGAUACAGACAUUUCUAUUGCAGUCAAUGGUGGCACUGUGUGAAAAUUGCAUGAAUGAACGUGGCACUGAAUAAGUAAAGUAACUGAAGUUAAACAUUUAUGUGUUUUGUAGAGUAAUUGCAAACACGUCUAAGACAGAAGCUUGCCACUUCAAGUUCCUGGCUCACAUGCCAAAAUGCAUUUUGCAUUUAAAACACAUUGAGAUAUAGUUUGACAAUGUACAAGUCUAAAUUAAAAAGUGAUGCUAGCAUAUCCAGCCAUAUUUUGUCUAGGUGCAGAGUGAGGUUGAGGGCUGAAAGAGGUUGGACUUAGUGACUUGACUAUUAACAGGUAAUUUUAGGGCCUAACCAAUUCCCAGUCCUAUAGAGAGCCAGGAGUAUCUUUAAACACAGGGAAAAAACAAACAAACAUGAAGCAUCAUCAACAAUAUGUUCCAACAUGGACACGAGUUGACUUGCAGUUUACACAAAGAGGGUGCUUCAUGUUAAAAAGAUGACUGUGUUGGGUGGAAAACAACGGCACUUGCACUGCAUGCCAGGGCAUAUUUUGUAGGGUGUGCAAUAACGUCAACUGAUUACAACUAUUACAACAAAAGUUGCAGUUUUUAAUUAAUUUUAUAUUCCUUAAAAGUGUUAAGUUGUACAAUUUCUGAAUGACGCAAUGGAAAACUUUUGAAGGGCUUUUCUUCUCUCUCCUUACACAAUGGUACGGAAAAUAGAGCUGUGUACUUGAUGUCUACAGUUGUCAAGGCUUAUGGGAAAUCACCAUGGUAACGCUGACAAUGUAAAUCCCUUGUUUUUGAAACAUUUGUUGCGAGUGUGUGCGUGUAACACGCAACUUAUCCGCUGGUGUUUAUCACAGCUCAUUACUACGACAACCUAAAAGUUAAAUCCUCUUAUGCCGAUGAGCUGCAUUUAUAUUUACCCAAGUGCUCUUGGGAGAGAAACCUUGCUCAGAACACAAACACACACAUAUACAAGCAUGCACAUACUGAUAGGUUACACUCAGUGUUUAGAUUUAUCCCAAUACUCCAGGGAGAUUCGAACUCAUUAUGCUGUGGAUAUGUUGGCUGGUGAGAUGCUUGAGCUGAGGCUAGCGCUGUGAGGCCACCAGAGAGUUUAGUCUUGGCUCCUUCAACGCCUCUGAUUUACCCAACUCAGGCAGGGACUGACUCCAUCUGAUAGCAGUCUGGCCACCAAGUCAUUUUGGCGCUGCAGAAUCAGACACAUUAGCAUGUUUUAUGCAUAAACACAUAAACAGAGUCACCAAAGCAGAGGGUAGUACACUUACACUCAGCCAUAUACACAAACAUGCAUGCACACACUCAAUCAUUAGAAUGAUAAAAAUGCAGACUCAGGAGAAAUGAGGUUGAGGAGAUGAGAUGAGAUGAGCCGCCUCUGUCAUUGCCCACGGGUGUGUGUCUUAUGACUAGACUCACAAAGAUAUUGAACAGCACACACAGACACACAAACACACACACACAGAGUUUUGGCUCAUAUGAGUGACAAGAUGGCACCUCUCAUCGAAUUGAUAUCAAUAUUUGGCCGGAGAGAUAUUUACACUCCCCUUUAAUCAGGGGGAACAGAUGGCCCAAGGUCUGUGAACUGUGUCCAUCCCUUUAACCGAGCACCAAGUCCCGGCAGUUUCAACAUGCAGAGAGAGAAGAGAAGGCAGGAAACAGGAGUAGGAAAGACAGGAAAAGGAAAGGAAGGACAUGAACAAGGACAGUGGUGCCCCAUUGUUUCACAGCAGACCUGCUGACAAUUAGAACAAGCUAAUUAAGAGGAGCAAAUGCUCUUAAUAUCAAACUAUGCUACAACAUCAUUUAAACAGUCUUUUAAAAGGGGGGUUAAAGAAACAUGUUGUGAUUCAGAUUUUUGUAGUUUAGGCUCAUUAGCAAUGACACCUAUUCAUUCAGUAUAUUGAAAGCCGAGGGAAACAGCAAUACACGUGUGGAGAUGUUGUAAUUCACACACUGUUUGAUGGAGUUGCCUCUUAUAAAGAACAAUGAUCAGCUCUAAUUAACUGUGAAUAUGAUAGCAUCAAAGCUGUUAUUCCCAUCAGUACAGUGAAGGGAGAAAAUAAUUAUCAGAAUUCUUAAUGCUGCAUCCCAGUUACCUUGGAAGUCAGAUGGGAGCUGGGAAUGACGUUACACCCGAGUUGACGGCUUUCCAGUAAACAAGUCGAAAAAACCAAGAUGGACACCUACUGUUGGCUGUUGUUAGCUGUUGUAAACAAUUGUUAGCUGCCAUUAGCCAUUGUCAGCUGUUGUUAGCUAUACCAGUUGCAAACAACGCAUAACACAGUAUUUCACUCAUAAACACCAUAGCACCAUGAUCACAGUUAGACACUGGGCAGUACAACAUACACUCACCGGCCACUUUAUUAGGUACACCUGUCCAACUGCUCGUUAACACUUAAUUUCUAAUCAGCCAAUCACAUGGCGGCAACUUAGUGCAUUUAGGCAUGUAGACAUGGUCAAGACAAUCUCCUGCAGUUCAAACCGAGCAUCAGUAUGGGGAAGAAAGGUGAUUUGAGUGACUUUGAACGUGGCAUGGUUGUUGGUGCCAGAAGGGCCGGUCUGAGUAUUUCAGAAACUGCUGAUCUACUGGGAUUUUCACGCACAACCAUCUCUAGGGUUUACAGAGAAUGGUCCGAAAAAGAAAAAAUAUCCAGUGAGCGGCAGUUCUGUGGGCGGAAAUGCCUUGUUGAUGCCAGAGGUCAGAGGAGAAUGGCCAGACUGGUUCGAGCUGAUAGAAAGGCAACAGUGACUCAAAUAACCACCCGUUACAACCAAGGUAGGCAGAAGAGCAUCUCUGAACGCACAGUAUGUCGAACUUUGAGGCAGAUGGGCUACAGCAGCAGAAGACCACGCCGGGUGCCACUCCUUUCAGCUAAGAACAGGAAACUGAGGCUACAAUUUGCACAAGCUCAUCGAAAUUGGACAAUAGAAGAUUGGAAAAACGUUGCCUGGUCUGAUGAGUCUCGAUUUCUGCUGCGACAUUCGGAUGGUAGGGUCAGAAUUUGGCGUCAACAACAUGAAAGCAUGGAUCCAUCCUGCCUUGUAUCAACGGUUCAGGCUGGUGGUGGUGGUGUCAUGGUGUGGGGAAUAUUUUCUUGGCACUCUUUGGGCCCCUUGGUACCAAUUGAGCAUCGUUGCAACGCCACAGCCUACCUGAGUAUUGUUGCUGACCAUGUCCAUCCCUUUAUGACCACAAUGUACCCAAUUUCUGAUGGCUACUUUCAGCAGGAUAAUGCGCCAUGUCAUAAAGCUGGAAUCAUCUCAGACUGGUUUCUUGAACAUGACAAUGAGUUCACUGUACUCAAAUGGCCUCCACAGUCACCAGAUCUCAAUCCAAUAGAGCAUCUUUGGGAUGUGGUGGAACGGGAGAUUCGCAUCAUGGAUGCGCAGCCGACAAAUCUGCGGCAACUGUGUGAUGCCAUCAUGUCAAUAUGGACCAAGCUCUCUGAGGAAUUCUUCCAGCACCUUGUUGAAUCUAUGCCACGAAGAAUUGAGGCAGUUCUGAAGGCAAAAAGGGGUCCAACCCGUUACAAGCAUAGUGUACCUAAUAAAGUGGCCGGUGAGUGUAUAGCACUAAUGUAAUUUCACAAAAAAAAAAAAACAAACAGAAGUGCUAAUAAAUAAUACAUUACAAGAGCUUUCACUGUUACUCUUUACUGCUGAUGCACUGCGCUGCCAUCUUGGUUGUCGUCAAGACGGGGUUGGUGAGGAUCCUACAACUUUGGAAAUCUGACUUCAGGGGGGCGUUCCAGAUUAAUUUCCAACUCGGAGCUCGUUAAUUCCGACUUCCGAGUACAACUGAAACGCAGCAUAAAUGCUAGGAUUUACCAAAAACUUAAUCUCUAAUAAAUCCAAGAAACACUAUGUUUUGCUUAUGUGUAAAACCUUGCGUCAUAAUUAAAGGCAGCAAACCAGUUCAAACCAAAAUUUUGCCAUCUCCAUCUCUUUCAUUUGUUUUUGUGGCCUUGAGAUCCUUGCAGUGUGGUCUCAGGCAAUAUCAAGUACAACAGGCUCAGCAGGAUUAGAAGUCAUCUGAAUAUUUAACAGAGGGGUCCUAAGAUUCUGUUUUGUGUCUGUGUUGGGUUACUCUGUCUUUUACGUAUAGGCUAUAUAUGAAAGCUUUUUUGGGGGGAUGUAAAGCAUUUAUUUAUGCGUAAAGUUUCAAACACAAAACCAAAAUAUCAAAGUUUUGCGUACAGCCAUUUGACAGCGAUGGUACUCCAUAAUUUUCACACAAAACAGUGAUGUCCAGAGGUGCUAUACUCCCAUCUUUAAAAUGACACUAAUCAUGGCAAAGCAUAAACAACCAAAAAAGUAAAAAUCAAACAAACAGAAAAAUAAAGUUGUCUGAGCCAGUCACUAUAAAAACAAGUGUGUACAGAGCAGUGAAUCUGAGAUAUCAUCAAUUAAAGUUAUUACUCUUUAAUGGAUUUACUUGACCAGCAUACUACUGAGUUCCUUACCAGUGUUAGAAAAUGAUUAGCCAGCAUGACUACUGUUUUAUUUCGGUUAAAAGCACUCAAAAGACUUAUAAGUUUGUUGUCACACUACAAAUUACAUUACAAUCACAAGUAAUAGUUCAUAACCCAUGGUUUGGUGUUCUCUUUUUUUUUUUCUGAUUUCUUUGACCUAUUUUCUUUCUCUUUGUACUCUGUGUUGUUAGUUUUCUGUGAAAUGAUUCUGCAAGUCUGUUUUUCACAGGAAGUCAUGCCAUUAUCCAUCUGUCUUGCUCACUUCAGUUAUAGAACGAAAACAGAAAUGAGCCCACAUAUUACGGUAUUAAUCUUGACUUCAAAUCUGCUCUCUCUCUCUUUCUGAAUGUAAGUGUGAUUGUGUAUGCGUGUGUUUGUGUGCGUAUACAUGUGUAUUUGUGUGUAGUCUGCCCCCAGGAGUUCAAGCUGAAAGAAGAAUUUCAUGUUUCCAUCCUUUUUUAAAGCACCCCGAACAAUUUGGGUAGACGGUUGCUUUGAGGUAUUUGCUGCUCCACUCACACUCACAAACCAGACCAGACUGAUUUCCAGGAUCCGCACAUGGAAACGAGCACACACCAGCGCAUACACACUCAUACAUUCAAAGCACAAAUACUCACACAUAGAUACAAACACACACUAAUCCCAGCUUGGGUGUUGAAAUUGCGGUGAUACAUUUCUAUAGAAUUGCACUAGAAGGCAAAAAUUGCAUAAAUGCAACUUGGGAGAAAACCUUUUCACCGUUCCGGGGAUUAAAUCUUCCUUCUAAGCCCAGAUCAAAUAUCUGAUUGUUCAGCCUGCCGCUGCUUCAAGAUGAAGCAAAUUCACACACAUGCACACACACACACUGACACACACACUUCGAUGAUAUAGAUUAAUCCAUUUCGUUUUUUGCCAAGUAUCCCAUAUUUUCAACUUCCAUCGCAAUAUAUAUUUCAUCUGUUCACAAAAUCCAUGAUCAUUUCCCUCGCUGCUCCAAGACGCUUUAAUUGCACAAUCUUCAAUUAAACAUAAGCCAAUAUCCCUGAACAAAAUCCUCUUUGCUUGGUUUAAUACAGGUAUCUUAAUGCCCAUACAGAGGAGGGGGUGGUGAAAAAAAGAGGAUUUUAUGAGGCAGAGAAGAUCAGGGUUAGUUCUCAUAAAAAAAACUCAUGGAUUUACUACUGUCUCUUUAUUUGUCUUUCUCGGAGCCUUUCUCGUUAUCCCUACUUUUGUCACUCUUUAUUUGUUUGUCUUUGCUUGUUAUUAUUUUCUUUUUUUAAAUCCCUAACUCAUCUUUUUCUUGCCUGUGCUGUUUUUUUUCUGCGCUACCAACACAAUAUUUGGCACAGAAUAAUGAGCAUGAGCUUCAUCUACAUCAUUUGACCAAGUUGUACCAGAAACAUUGAAACUAUACCAGACUCUUUAUGAGUUUGUGAGUCAAACUCAUACACAGAGAGGCAAAGAAAAGAGGGAUAAAAAGAGAAAGUUGGUAGAUGAAUGUGGACUUCGUAGGACCUUACUUUAUUACUGGUAGAACAAAUGUGUUGCUUAUAUCUAAAUACCCCUCCAGUGUCUUCUAAAAGAACUGUGGGACUUGAAGCCAGUGGUUUAGAUGUCUUUGUCUACCAUGUGGAGAAAACAUUUCUCAAUAAGAGGAUACCAGCUGCUUACUUAAGGCUGCAGGCUUCAAUGCUCAGACAUUAAAUUAGAAGCACAAAACGCCAAAUGGAAGUGUGUUCAGCUCUCAUUGCUUUUGUGUUUGUUUUAAUGCAUAAUGACACAACCCAUAGUUUGCACAACAUAUAUAAUGCCUUUAAAAAUAUACUGUGGUAGCUGUUGAAGGGAAAGACUGAGUCAGUUUGCCAAAUAAGCUUGGAUAAUAAACGGUACAGCCAUUAUUUUGUUUGCUAGAGAAUCUGACGCUUAAAAUUGUUUGAAAACUCAGUAUUUUAGUGACUUGCGUUUUAUAGACUCAGUUUCUCAGUGUGCUGCAGGCAGAAAAAUGUGUGCUGUAACAAUAGUUCAAAAAUGAACUUUGACUUCAGUAGCUACAUUUGUUGAUGUCUGCUAUACUGUGUAUAAUGUAACUUUAAUGAACAGGGUUAAUUGUUGGUCACCAGCUAAGUUUGUGUUUCUUUUUCCUAGUCUCUGGCUACACAAAGAUGAGGGGUUAACUACUCUGUUUAUGUUCUGAUUUGAGGAGAUUUUUUAACUUAUUAUUCUAAAAUUAUCAAUCAUGAUAACAAUUUUCAGGUUCUGUCAAAUGCCUGAAAGAAAUGUGCCAAAUAGACAAUGUUGGUUUGACACUAAAGGUUUUCAUUACAAUACAGUGCUGUGUGUCAUUCACCCUGGGUUACAUUUCAAUAAAAGGCAUAACCAAUAACACUAUGAAACCCUGAUUGUUUGUUCUGCAGGUUGAUUGAAAUUCACAUCUUUCAUAAUAUUUUGUCGCUGUAUUAGACCGUGACAUGAUGCAAGGCAUGUACAGACUACGCCAUGUUUUUAUAUUUUGACAAAUAAAGUCUGCAGGUAUAAGCCUGAUCAAGCAUGCACACACACACAAUGUAAAUAUGACAUAUAAUGCCUACACACCAGCAUGAAAGAAAACAAAUAUUUUUCCACAUAUAGUAUGUACAUAUACAGGCACAUAAAUACACCUUAACAGCCAUGAUACACAGCACCAACAGGGGUGUAACAAGAUGGUGAUUGGCAGGGAACUGAGUGUCUUGCUGAGAGAAAUAAUGAACAGGUGCCCAAAGCACAGGCCUCAAUUAAUGUGUGUUUGCUUGAGUGUUUCAGCUGGGAGCAUGCAUUCACUGAGAUUGCCUGUCUGCACAUUUGUGCUCUGUGUAUUUGCUUGUAAAGUCUGGGAGAGUACAGCCUUGUUGUUGACAAUGAGAGAGGUGACCUAAACGUCCCAUUCAUACUCCAAACAUCAUUAGCAUGCAGCCAAAACAAAGGUGAAGAGACUAUAAAGGCUGUCAGGGAGUCUGAAUUAACAACCAGGGUGACAUAGUUGUCACUUCGUGGAGGUAAGAUUGACAGCCUUUGAUUACAUUAUUAUGCAUCAAUCAUGUAUUCAUCACCAUGCACAAGGUAUGCCAACAAGUAUAGGGAAAUGGGUUUUCGCAAAGAGACUUACAAAUAAAAUAUAAUCUGGCACAAAACACAAAUGGCUAAAAAAAAAAAGAGUCCAAGGACAAUUUCACACCUGUAGCUCAUUAGUGCAUCCUUGAAUCACAGACUGAGGCCCCGAUUAUAUGUUCCUGGUUAUUUUUAAAAACAGAAACAUCAACCAUCAUUUGCACCCUUCCUUUACACGUAAACUGAGAAUUCGCCCCUGAAAAUGGAGCUUUUGGAAAACUCUGUUUGCAUGUAAACAGAGAAAAACAGAGAUUUGGGUAGCCGACGGCAGGUUGUGCGCCUGAAAGAAGUAAGUGAUGUUAUUGUUGUUGCUGCUAUGCGGGAUUAUGAUUGGCUAACAUGGGCUUGAGCUUCUCGCUACACUGCCACCUAUAGGUUUGGCAUGCUCCUGAUGCCAUAUAUACACGGGUUAGUAUAAACGAAAACUUUUCUGAAAACACAGUGGUGCACACAGUUUUUUUGUAAACGGAGAGGGCGAAAUGUCUGUUAAUGAGAAUGGCCAGGCACGUGUAAAUGUAGUCUGAAUGUCACUUUGUUUCAAAGAAACCUAAGAUUUAAUUUGUGUUCACACGAGAAAAUUUAUAAGUUAACCAAAGCAUGUGGUAAAUGAAUACAUUAGAGAAAGUGUACGACUUUGUUACUUGGACCUGAGACAAUAAAUAAAUCAAUAAAUAAAUAAAUCUAAGCCACAAAUAAAUAUUAAAUCAACACUCAAAGACUGGCACAAAGACUCAUGUCUUAUGAAGUAACUUUAAUUUGUAGUUCAAAAUAUCAAUAAUAUUUUGAAUUGGCACAUACUGUAUACACACUUAAUAUUUUAGGAAAAAUAUGUUUAAGCCAUAAUUUCGAUUUACAUUUUUUAUCUGCCUUUUUGUGUCUCCUGAAAUUAGACCCAUAAAUCUGUUCAGUUUGCAUUUGAUUCUACCUGUAAUCUGACGAUGAUCACAACUGUCAAGAGGAAAAUGUAUGUUUAUAACAUCAGGUAUUAAAAUGAUCAAAAUUAAUACGAUAACUCUAUCAAAUUACUUCAUGUACAAACAGCUGCACUUAACUAAAACUACAGAAGAAGUUACAUCAGGGUUUUUCCUGCGUUCAAAAUUGCGUGGCGGCCGCCUCCACCUAAUUUUGUGCCGCCCCCAGCCAGAGCGAUUGAUUUCGCUCAACACAGCGUAAAGCUCCAGCUGUGUUGAUUGAGCGAUUGAUGUCCCGAUGCAGCAGCAACGUAUUUUAACUGUAGUUGCAGCGUUGCGCCACUAUAGGGGCGCUAUAUCAACAGCAGUGCACCGGAAAGACCUGAAGCAUCUACCGAAGAAGAAACGGAUCGAAUCAUGUUUUUUCAAGUGUUUUUCCCGCUAGUUGGUGCUAUCGGCGUCCUGAUUUUCCCUGGCGGAUGGUACAAACAGGUAAAUACUGCUUCUCUUUUUUGCAUCCAAGCAUGUCGUGUUUAUUUUAAAAAAAAGUUUACUCCGUUUUUAGCGUUGCAGUUAUGACAGGCAAAAUCAGCCAGUACUUUAAAAAGCGACCUCGCGAGGAGGAAAGUCAAGAGUCCAGGUGAAACACAGUAGAGAUAAAAACGUAACAGGCAGUUAAAAUGCUAUAAUUCAUGGUGGAGACAACGUGGAAAUUUGUGUCAGGUCUGAAAGUACUUCGCAAGGGACUGGUGAUCGCGAGGGUCAGAAUGCAGGACAGGACGAGUCGGCGAGGCGAGGGUAAUUAAUUAAUUAGUUUCCAAUUAGGAGCAUAACAACGCAAAGCCGACGUGUACGUGGUUUUUAUUCCUCUUUCCAGAUCUUCUCAAAAACACAGAGCCAGUGGCUUUGACAAGCAGUGGCUCAAUCAAUUUACCUGGCUCAGGCAUACUGAGGAAGGCAUGCACUGCUAUUUAUGCCAAAAGCACUGUGCCCCAACACAGCAGGCAAUUGCUGCGUCCUUAGUGAGACAGCCAUCAACCAACUACAGGCUGGACACAUUAAAAAGACAUGAGGUGACAGCCAUUCACAAAGCAGCAGAAGAGAAGGAGAAAUAUAUUAAAGAUGGUAGUACCUAAAAAAACUCAACUAAUAAAGUUACAAAAAAUAAAUAACAUAGUUUAGAUAGUUUAAGAAAUAAUUGGUUGUCGUUUUUUUUUAGGGAGGACACUGCAGCGUAUACAUAUAUAUGAUGGAAAACACUAUCACUCUUCAUGUCUGUAUCAGAAUAAAAACAAAAAUACUUAAUGCAUGAUGAAUUGUUUUGUUUAAGGUGAAGACACCUCUGCGGAACAGACUGAAGGAGAGGCACUUGGAUGUCUGUUGUAAGGUGGCCGUUGAUGGACCAGACCAGGAGGCCUUGGACUACAAGGAGUGCAUGAGGAGGUUCUACAGAAUGAAAAAGAGGAGGCUGAAAUGUUCUGUCUGGUUGCGAGAUGUGUGGAUGAAGUGUACUUUCAAUUUAAAGUUGCCAGCUGAUUUGUGUAUGUAUAUAGUUUUAAUAAAUGAAUGCUUUAACAUGAUAAUGGUCACACUCUUUUUUGAACUCUUAACUUAAAGUAUGUUGCCUGUAAAAGUAAGUGAAUCGGUUGAAUUUACAAAUACAUGCACGUCGUGGCGCACGGUCAGGAUGGUGCCACCUCUGCCUCAAUUUGAGCCAGGAAAAACCCUGUACAUACAACGGUAUAGAUCCCAAAACAACCCAUUCACUUACAAGAGGGACAAUACGGUAUGUGAGCUCUACAGCACAGUGUGACUAUCAGGGAAAAGCAAAAGUAGUGGAGGGUGUGUGUUUUGAUCUCAGAGCAUCUCACUUCUCUAGAAGAAAAGAACAUAUAUUGACAGGGAAAGGGGGAAAAGAGCCCAGUUGGUUCUCAGGAUCCUUGAGGUAUGCCUGUGGUUUUUAACCCAUAACUGCUGACAGUAGCUGGCUUUGUCCAGAAAAUGCAAUUCUUCCUGCUUUUAGAUGAGAUGUAACUGCGCCAAGGUCUGGACAAAAGUGAACCCAACUCCUCCGGUGGUUACAGUUUGGUUGUGUGGUCUGCUCCACAGUUUGAUUGACAGCUUUCACACCAUUGCAAAUGAACUGCAAUAACUUGACAAAAAGACUGAGCCAAACAUUUUCAGCAGAGUCACAUCCACUGUGUCUCUACUUCUCCCCCUUCACCUCUUCCUCUCAACACACUCUUCACACACUUUCUGCUCUAUUAAUCACUUAAAUCCUAAUGUCACUGAACUACUGGUGGACUGGCAAAACGAGCUAAAUUUCUUUGGCAACCAACACAUUACAAAUUCUUGUUGGCACCGAUGCCCAGGUUCUAAAAGAGAAAUAGGGUGUGGGCAAAUAUUUCAUAUUAUUCAUGGCGACUGCUUGUUCAAGCAAAAGCCUCUGAGAAAUACUGUCUAGUAUGAGUAGCCCGUCUGUUUAUGUACACAUUAGUGUUUUCUGUGCUUCUACAGAAGGCAUACAAGGUCACCUGUGGCUUUAUGAUUUGCUCUGUCUGUAUCUCUAUCAUAAUGAAUUUUUAACACAAAUCCAGCACUCACCAGAGAUGGGAUCUGUAGACAGAAAAAAGGACUCAUGGCUGGCUGUAAAUUAUAAAUCAGAGAUGUCCAGAGACUAAGGACAGAGACGCGGGUUUGUGAGGCACCAUAUUACAUUUCGUAAUUACCUCUUUUAUUAUUUAUAUUAGGUGCAAUCAAAGACUGCGCACACACACAUUUGGAGGAAAUGCAACAUGGGGGCUGUUUUGAAGUACUUAGCAAAAAGGACAAAUUGGGGUGAGGGUUUUGAAAAUGUUUCGGAAACACACAGACACGCACGCAUAGGCUCCCUAGGUCUCCGAAGUCUGAUGUUGAACUAACUUGACAGUGGAAGUAAAUUAAAGAGGACUUAGAAAUGGUUUUGGAAAAAGUUGGUCCCGGGUCUUUAUUUCAUUACUUUCCCUUUCAAUAAUCUUGAUAACCCAUAAGAAUUCAAAUUACUCUUUUUUCUACUUUACUUUUCCAUUUUGGAUCUGAGGAUUUGGUUCUGGUGUUGAAAUGUGUGUUCAAUAUUGAGUACAUUCAUUGCCAACCCAGUCUUUUUGGUCUAGUUUAACUUUUGUGGUUUGGAUUUGUUUCUAAACAGAACUAUUUUACCAACAUUAUUGAGUCAGUUUGAAAUAAAAAAGCUUGUUUUUCUUUGCUUUAACUCAAGAGAUGUCAUUUCGACAUAUAAGGGCCAACAUGUGUCAAGGCAGCAUAUAUACUGUGUCAGCUCUCAACAUUACACUCAGAGUUUUGACACCGAAAGCACAAAGAGAGCACAAAUCUGUAUGCAACUCAGCAGUUAAAUCCAGUCAUUACACUUUAUGAUACAAUUUCAAUCAAUGAGUUGUACAACAUAAAAUGUCUUUCACAGCUAUGGCAACAGGAGAGUUGUGUCCCUAUAAGAACCCUACUAACAGUAUGAGGUGAUAGAAAACUUAAAUCACCAGCAUAAUGGCAGUGUGUUGGCACAGACUUAGUGUGAACUUUUGAUUAAAAGCUUGAAAGUUCAGGUCACUGUAUUUUCUUACCAGACACAUGGAGACUAUGAGAAAUCCGGAUUUCCCAGAUACAUGAGUCCAUGAAUAGAUAAAGACCAUAGAGUGUUAAGGAGGGGGGGGUGUACUUUGGUUUGAACAGGACAGGUAAAGCACUUAAGUAAUGAUUAAGAAAAAAAACCUCUCUGGGCUUUAAGUCCUCAAAAGGAUAAAAUAGUAAAAAAAGAACAUGAAGGUUCUCAUUUAUUGCAAAUCUUACAACCUCAAGAACUAUCUAAGAAGAUACAUCUCAAUGAACUGCAUUUAACUUGACACACUUUUGUGGAAUGAAUAAUAUAUUUAAUAUUUGAACACUCAGAAUAAAAGGCAGGAGGAUAAAAUAGAUAGAUUAAUAAAUAAAAUCUUCCUGCAUCAGUGUUCCAGUUUGAACUUAAUCUGUUGUUUUUGACACACAAGUGACCAUAUCUGGAUAACAGUGCAGUUACUGAAGUUAAACUUUUACAGCAACUCUAUUUUUAACCAGUUAUCUUGUUGUAGAAGGUUGAGAAGGAUUACCCUCACCUUCAUCAACUUCAAAAAUAAAUCAGACCAUCAGCAACAAGGUUGAGAGAUUCUCACUUGUAAUUUUUGAUGUCUGGAACCACCAAGAGGGAAGCUGUCAGACCAGAUGAUUGAUGGCAGGCUGAGAAACAAGCUUUUUUUAAGAUUAUUUUUCAUGACAAAUACUCAUAGUGAGUGAUACCAGAAUGAGGUUGUUGUCCAAAAACACAACUUUCACUCUAACAGGACAAGAUAUAAGAGAUAACACCAAGUCUGACGCUGUUACGUUCCCUGAAAAUAAGGGAUGGAGGGAAAAUAAAAAUUAACCAAGAAAAAAACAAACAGUUCUCUACUUCUUAGCCACUACUACUUCUACUUCUUAUCCAAUUCUCUACUUCAAUGCACUUUGUUGGUGGUCUUUGUGAACAACUCAGUGUGACGAUAUAUGUUUACCAUUUUAAUAUGUGCACCAUUGCCACCAUUCUCUUUUUUUAAUGGUGAAAAUAGCAACCAAAGGCACUGUUAUGCCUUGGCUUAUAAAUUAACUUACUGCUCUGCUGCCUGCAUUGAUCCACAAAUUCAAGAAAUGGGAAUGGGGGGAAAGGAGGCAAAACAUGGGGGAAAUGUGGUGAUAUUGUAGGUUUUACUGAUGCAGGUGAAGCCAAGUCACAACAUUACUUUCAGAUCUACAGUAUAGCGUCAGUAUCUUUACUCUGAUAUCUGCUGUCCUGUCAUUUUCAACUUUUUUAAUGAUUUAAAUAACAUUUUAAUAUUGUAUUGAAUUUAAGUUGAUAAAUGCUUCCUCUGUUCCAUGUUCUUUAGGGGACUAAACCAAACUGGGACCUAACUAAGAAAAUGGGAAGAACGAGUAAAAGGCUGGUGAGCACCGGGUCAGGUACCUACUGUGCACUGAGGUCUUGGGGACCUAUCAAGUCUUGGAGACUUGGGCUGAGUGCUGGGGAAAUCCGGGUCUGAAAACUUGCAUCUUAUUUGUAACCUUGUCAAACUUAUUUAUCUCUUCGAAAAAAUGGUUUUCAUAAAAA